rnacentral:rRNA from 1 species
UACGGGGGUGGCAAGCGUUGUUCGGAAUUACUGGGCGUAAAGGGCGCGUAGGCGGGUGGACAAGUCUCUCGUGAAAGCCCACGGCUCAACCGUGGAAUUGCGGGAGAUACUGUCUGUCUUGAGUCCGGGAGAGGAGGGUGGAAUUCCCAGUGUAGCGGUGAAAUGCGUAGAUAUUGGGAGGAACACAGGUGGCGAAGGCGGCUCUCUGGACCGGCACUGACGCUGAGGCGCGAAAGCUAGGGGAGCAAACGGG